rnacentral:lncRNA from 1 species
ACAUAUCAGGAAAAAGGACAAUUCUACCCGUUAUUGUGGACUUUAUUUCAUUUUGAAUUUGAAUUAAAAGCUACAGAAGAAGGAAUAAAAACUCAUGAAAUCAAGUUAGUGACAUGUUAAAUGAAUGGAAAAAAUGUUAUAGCUUAUCAUGAUGAAAACACUGCCCAAUGUUAAAGCACGACACUUAUGGUUAUUAAUGAAUUCAUACCUACAAAAAACUACUGUGGAUUCUGUACUGCGGCGUGGGGGACAGUAUCCUGACUAUGGCUGUGGUCUUCUCUGUUUGUUUACGCCAAGGUAAAGAGAGUGCAGUGCCUCCAGAAAUUUCGUCUGUAAUGGUAAGCAUGCUAUAUUUGUUGAAUUAUUGUUAUAAUUACAGAAUUAUUGUUUGUUAAAUAUUCCUUUUGAAUGGCUAUUGGUGGAUUGGUGAAAACGUAAUGUUUUGGAAAAUCUGUUAGUUUAGACUACUAACCUACACAAGAGAAGUAAAAAAUGAUUUGUCAAGUACCGUCAACCAUAGUUUUGGUGUGGAUGCUAUAUUAAACUUUCCACACUAAAAUAUACUGUAUUAAACUUUAUUUAUUUAUUUAUUUAUUUUUGUCUAGUUUUACUCUGUGGAUCCCGUCAAUUUAGGGCUGGAUUUAAGUCCAACAAAAAAAUAACAAAUAAAGGUAAAAAGUAAAUGUGUGUAUUAUUUUUAAUUACAUUGUUUAUGUGAAACAUAUACAAUACAGUAGUCAAUCCUUGUGAAGACCACUCUCAUGUUUUCUUCAGACAAUCUUUCCUCUUUUUCAGGGCAUCACUGGAGAUUGUGUUAUUGAAAGGAAUGUAAAGAAAUGCUAGAGUAUUCCAAAACAACUAAAAAGUCAAUUAAACUGAAAUUUGCAUUCUCCUAAUGUUGUUUAUGAUGGUAAUGACAUACUUUAUUCUAGGAUUCGACUGUCUUUUGUGUUCUGUGGGUGAACAUGCAUCUUUCAAACUUUCAAAAUUAUAUGAAUAAUCUACUAUAUAUUAUUGUUGUUUGAUUAUGUCUCCUCUUAGUCUCAAAUAAAGUUAUUUUUUGCUUUUACACAUUUAGAAUCAAAAUUGCCUUCUUUGAGGUGCUACUGUACAUGUGAAUAUGCACAAAUGAGAUUUGAGAGCUACAGAGUUGAACAAGAUUUUCAGUGAAAAACAAUUUAAUUCCCUCUGUUUCUUAUAGCGGUUUAUGCAAUAACUCUUUGGAUUUGGAAACACUAUUCACUAUUAACUAUUGAGAGAAAGUGAAUAUGUGUUCCCUAAUGUAUUACCAUUUAUACUUGACAUAUAGAAAAAAAGGGGCUUGUUUUGUAUAUUGCAGUUGAAGACUACUUUGUGUUUUUUUUUGUUUGUUCUCUCUCUUGCUCUCUCUCUCUCCCUUAUGUAAUGAUGUUUUGGGUAUUUUUGAUACUUUCCAUGUGGAAACUUGUGCAAAAGUUGAGGAGGGCCCCCUUGAGCUGAUGACCACAGACUUUUAACAUCAGGUUCUGGUGAUUUAUUAGCUAGAAAUAUGGGCCCUAACAUCGGAAAUAGCCAUUCAUAGAUUAGAAAUUGGCUGCGGCACGGCAGCACCAACUAGUCAAAAAUUACUUUCGAGAAAAAUGCUCCCUCUAAAACUACUAAUUUGUAUAACUAUUAUGAAGUGGCGCAUUUACAAUAAUAUCCCACCUGUGGCUACAAGGCUCCAGAUAAUCUGCAUAAAUAUCUUCCUUGCCUCCUCCACUCACAUGGCGAUGAUUUUCUGAAGCCGUGUAGCUUUCAGAUCCAAUAUUCCACCUGAGACCAUGACCAUCUGCCAAUAACAUUUGCAAAAUG